rnacentral:rRNA from 1 species
GCAAGUCGAGCGAACCCCCAGACUUCGGUUUGACGGGUUAGCGGCGGACGGGUGAGUAACGCGUGGGAACGUGCCCUUGGGUAAGGAACAACAGUUGGAAACGACUGCUAAUACCUUAUGAUCCUCUUCGGAGGCAAAGAUUUAUCGCCCAGGGAUCGGCCCGCGUUGGAUUAGGUAGUUGGUGGGGUAAUGGCCUACCAAGCCGACGAUCCAUAGCUGGUUUGAGAGGAUGAUC